GAUGAAGAACGUAGCGAAAUGCGAUAAGUAAUGUGAGUUGCAGAAUUCAGUGAAUCAUCGAAUCUUUGAACGCACAUUGCGCCCAUUAGUAUUCUAGUGGGCAUGCCUGUUCGAGCGUCAUUUCAACCCUUAAGCCUAGCUUAGUGUUGGGAGACUGCCUAAUACGCAGCUCCUCAAAACCAGUGGCGGAGUCUGUUCGUGCUCUGAGCGUAGUAAUUUUUUAUCUCGCUUCUGCAAGCCGGCCAGACGACAGCCAUAAACCGCACCCUCUCGGGGGGCACUUUUUUAAUGGUUGACCUCGGAUCAGGUAGGAAUACCCGCUGAACUUAAGCAUAUCAAUAAGCGGAGGA
rnacentral:misc_RNA from 1 species